GCGAAAACUUUACAAUGCGGGAAACCGUGAUAAGGGAACUCCGAGUGUCCGUAAAUGCGGACUGUCCGUAUGUUUAAAAAGCAUGCGAAGAAAGGGCCGGGCAAGACCGGUGCCAGCCGCCGCGGUAAUACCGGCGGCUCGAGUGGUGGCCACUAUUACUGGGCUUAAAGCGUUCGUAGCUGGGUUGUUAAGUUUCUUGGGAAAUCUACCGGCUUAACCGAUAGGCGUCCAAGGGAUACUGGCAAUCUAGGGACCGGGAGAGGUGAGGGGUACUUCAGGGGUAGGAGUGAAAUCCUGUAAUCCUUGGGGGACCACCUGUGGCGAAGGCGCCUCACCAGAACGGCUCCGACAGUGAGGGACGAAAGCUGGGGGAGCAAACCGGAUUAGAUACCCGGGUAGUCCCAGCCGUAAACGAUGCGCGUUAGGUGUAUCGAUGACCACGAGUCAUCGAGGUGCCGAAGGGAAACCGUGAAACGCGCCGCCUGGGAAGUACGGUCGCAAGGCUGAAACU
rnacentral:rRNA from 1 species